rnacentral:rRNA from 1 species
AGAGUUUGAUCAUGGCUCAGAACGAACGCUGGCGGCAUGGCUAAGACAUGCAAGUCGAACGGACCAUUUUGAAGAGUAAUCGGAUCUAUGGUUAGUGGCGAAAGGGUGAGGAAUAAAUAGGUAACGUACCCCGAACUCCGGGAUAGCGUCUGAAUGCUUCGGCAUUCUUCCGAAAGGGGCGGUAAUACCGGAUAAUAUCAUCUUGUUAAUCAAGGUAAUCAAAGAUUUAUCGGUUUGGGAGCGGCCUAUUUCCUAUCAGCUUGUUGGUGAGGUAACGGCUCACCAAGGCAGCGACGGGUAGCGGGACUGAGAGGUUGGCCCGCCACAUUGGGACUGAGACACUGCCCAGACCCCCACGGGGGGCUGCAGUAACGAAUAUUGUGCAAUGAGCGAAAGCUUGACACAGCAAUGCCGCGUGUAGGAUGAAGCUUUUCGGAGUGUAAACUACUGUCAGGGGUUAGAAAGUCUUCGGAUUGAUCAGCCCCAGAGGAAGUCACGGCUAACUUCGUGCCAGCAGCCGCGGUAAUACGAAGGUGGCAAGCGUUGUUCGGAAUCACUGGGCUUAAAGCGCGCGUAGGCGGAAAUCCAAGUGUCUUGUGAAAGCCCCCGGCUUAACCGGGGAAUUGCUCGGCAAACUGGAUUUCUUGAGGCAAGUAGGGGUACAUGGAACUCUCGGUGGAGCGGUGGAAUGCGUAGAUAUCAAGAGGAACGCCAAAGGUGAAGACAGUGUACUGGGCUUGUCCUGACGCUGAGGUGCGAAAGCGUGGGGAGCGAACGGGAUUAGAUACCCCGGUAGUCCACGCCGUAAACGAUGUCUACUAGGUUGUGGAGGGUCUGACACCCUCACAGUCGAAGCA